CUAAGUUCCACUCACCGGCUUCUUUCACUUCAGAAGCGCGCGCGCGAGAGAGAAGGGGGAUGUUUCGCAAUGGCUGUAGAACCGCGUGGCCAGAUUCUACCGCUGUUCCGACAAUGGAACUGGGCCCGCGCCUACUUAAUCGCAGAGUUUCGGCAAAUACAUGAGGAAUAUUUUCUGCAGCACUUUACAGCGUAUGUCCCGUAUAUUUCUAUAUUCAGGAUAUCACUACGGAAUUGAUUGGCACUGAAAAAGCAGGAUCAUCUUUGAGGUCCAAAAAAUGUCGAAAUCAGACUACAAGGAUUAUUUCACUUCAAGGCACUGGCCAUCCACAUAGUUGUCUCCUGUGUUCUUUCUAUGUAGUCUGGAUAAACUGAGCCCACCUACGUGGUAAUACAUCCUGUGGUAUAAUGGGUUGUUCUUGAGCUAUUUUGUCUUCCAAAAUUCCUUAAAAGGUGCUUUAGAACUUCCCAGGCUGCAUUCAUUCGGAAAUGCAUAAAAGUCGGCACAAUUUUGAGUUGGUCAGAAGUUGCCUUAAAGACAUUAGCAAAGGGAAUAAGAAGAAACAUUGCUCUUCGGAACAACAUACUCCAGUGAUCUCUAGAAAUCUAGAAAAAAAGUUUUUGUUUUUUUGCACUUUUGUCUUUGAAAAAUGAGUAAUCGUUUUUACCUGUUAAAUGUAACGUGAAAAUAACCUGUUGCAAAUGUCUUUGUAAAGCAUACGCCGUGUGUUUAACAUGUUCAGCGUGUUCAAUGUUCUAGUAACUUUUGCACAUAUCUUUUAAAGGGUUAAGUACAUUAAAUUUGCGAAGGAUUUUGUGCAAUAAAACUGUUAAUAUCCA